rnacentral:rRNA from 1 species
UACAGAGGUCCCAAGCGUUGUCCGGAUUUAUUGGGCGUAAAGAGCGUGUAGGCGGCUAGAUAGGUCCGUUGUGAAAACUCGAGGCUCAACCUCGAGACGUCGAUGGAAACCAUCUGGCUAGAGUCCGGAAGAGGAGAGUGGAAUUCCUGGUGUAGCGGUGAAAUGCGCAGAUAUCAGGAAGAACACCCGUGGCGAAGGCGGCUCUCUGGUACGUGACUGACGCUGAGACGCGAAAGCGUGGGGAGCAAACAGG